rnacentral:rRNA from 1 species
GACGAACGCUGGCGGCGUGCUUAACACAUGCAAGUCGAACGAAGCUGCAAGACGGAUCCCUUCGGGGUGAAGACUUGUAGACUUAGUGGCGGACGGGUGAGUAACGCGUGAGCAACCUGCCUACAAGAGGGGGACAACAGUUGGAAACGACUGCUAAUACCGCAUAAGACCACACUACCGCAUGGUAGAGAGGUCAAAGAUUUAUCGCUUGUAGAUGGGCUCGCGUCCCAUUAGGUAGUUGGUGAGGUAACGGCCCACCAAGCCGACGAUGGGUAGCCGACCUGAGAGGGUGAUCGGCCACACUGGAACUGAGACACGGUCCAGACUCCUACGGGAGGCAGCAGUGGGGAAUAUUGGGCAAUGGGGGAAACCCUGACCCAGCAACGCCGCGUGAGGGAAGAAGGUCUUCGGAUUGUAAACCUCUGUCCUUGGGGACGAAGAAGUGACGGUACCCAAGGAGGAAGGCUCCGGCUAACUACGUG